rnacentral:rRNA from 1 species
GGGGAUUGGACGGGGGCCCCGCACAAGUCAGCGGAGCGUGUGGGUUAAUUCGAUGCUACACGAAGAACCUUACCCAGGCUUGACAUACAGGUGGUAGGGAUCCGAAAGGUGACCGACCCGCAAGGGAGCCUGUACAGGUGUUGCAUGGCUGUCGUCAGCUCGUGUCGUGAGAUGUUCGGUUAAGUCCGCUAACGAGCGCAACCCUCGCUGCGUGUUACAAGUGUCACGCAGGACCGCCGGUAUUAAGCCGGAGGAAGGUGGGGAUGACGUCAAGUCAGCAUGGCCUUUAUGCCUGGGGCUACACACACGCUACAAUGGGCAGUACAAUGGGUUGCUAAGCCGCGAGGUGGAGCCAAUCCCCCAAAACUGUCCUCAGUUCCAGAUUGCAGGCUGCAACUCGCCGUGCAUGCAAGCCGGAGUUGCUAGUAGGACGCGCUUAUGUCGUACUCG